rnacentral:rRNA from 1 species
AACGAACGCUGGAGGCGUGCUUAACACAUGCAAGUCGAACGAUGAAAUGGAGCUUGCUCCAUGGAUUAGUGGCGAACGGGUGAGUAACACGUGAAUAACCUGCCCUUAAUUUUGGAAUAACCCAGGGAAACCUGGGCUAAUACCGGAUAAGUAAACCUGUGGCAUCACAUGGUUUUGGAAAGUUUUUCGAUUAAGGAUGGAUUCGCGGCCUAUCAGCUUGUUGGUGAGGUAAUGGCUCACCAAGGCGACGACGGGUAGCCGGCCUGAGAGGGUGAACGGGCACACUGGGACUGAGACACGGCCCAGACUCCUACGGGAGGCAGCAGUGGGGAAUAUUGCACAAUGGACGAAAGUCUGACGCAGCGACGCCUCGUGAGGGACGAAGGUCUUCGGAUUGUAAACCUCUUUCAGCAGGGACGAAGCGAAAGUGACGGUACCUGCAGAAGAAGCACCGGCUAACUAUGUGCCAGCCGCCGCCGUAA